rnacentral:lncRNA from 10 species
CGGAUCUCUGCCGCUAAUCUCCUGGGGAGGCUGUGCUCUCAGCUUAAGCUCUCAGAAAAAAUAAGACAAGGUCUGACUCUGUGCAGUGGAGUGCAGUGGCUCAAUCAUAGCUCACUCCAGCCUCAGACUCCUGGGCCGAAGUGAUCCUCCCACCUCAAGCUCCUGAAUAGCUGGGACUACAGCUGGGCAUGGUGGCAUGUGCCUGUGGUUCCAGUUACUUGGGAAGCUGAAGUGGGAGGAUCGCUUGAGCCCAGGAGGUCAAGGCUACAGUGAGCUGUGAUGGUGUCAUUGCAUUCCAGCACUCCAGCCCGGGCAUCAGAGUUAGACCUUGUCUUAAAAAAUAAAUAAAUGAAUAAAUAUAAAUAAAAAAUAAAAAGCUUUUACAG